rnacentral:rRNA from 1 species
GUGGUAGGAUAGAGGCCUACCAUGGUGGUAACGGGUAACGGGGUGUUAGGGCACGACACCGGAGAGGGAGCCUGAGAAACGGCUACCACAUCCAAGGAUGGCAGCAGGCGCGCAAAUUACCCAAUCCCGACACGGGUAGGUAGUGACAAUAAAUAACAAUACGGGGUUCUUUCGGAUCUCGUAAUUGGAAUGAGUACAAUUUAAAUCUCUUAACGAGGAACAAUUGGAGGGCAAGUCUGGUGCCAGCAGCCGCGGUAAUUCCAGCUCCAAUAGCGUAUAUUAAAGUUGUUGCAGUUAAAAAGCUCGUAGUUGAACUUCGGAAUUUAUUCAUUGGUCAGACUUAACUGUCUGUACUGGUGUUAUGAAUUUCUACCUUCUGAGGAAUUAUCAUGCCAUUUAGUUGGUGUGGUAGGGAAUCAGGACUGUUACUUUGAAAAAAUUAGAGUGUUUAAAGCAGGCUAACGUCUGAAUACAUUAGCAUGGAAUAAUAGAAUAGGACGGAUUGGUUCUAUUUUGUUGGUUUCUAGGAUCACCGUAAUGAUUAAUAGGGAUAGUUGGGGGCAUUAGUAUUCAAUUGUCAGAGGUGAAAUUCUUGGAUUUAUGGAAGACGAACCACUGCGAAAGCAUUUGCCAAGGAUGUUUUCAUUAAUCAAGAACGAAAGUUGGGGGCUCGAAGACGAUCGGAUACCGUCCUAGUCUCAACCAUAAACGAUGCCGACCAGGGAUCGGCGGAUGUUGCUCUAAGGACUCCGCCAGCACCUUCUGGGAAACCAAUU